rnacentral:rRNA from 1 species
GAUUUCUGACGGACCGACGUGGCCCGUUUCCGUUUCGGAGAUGAGUGCUGUGCCGAGUUUGUCAUCCUUCCAGAGGGCCGCGCCUACCGUUCAUUCGGCCGGGCGUUCGUUAUCUGGAUCGAUUACUUUGAAAAAAUUAGAGUGUUUAAAGCAGGCGUGAGCUAUGAAUACAUUAGCAUGGAAUGAAUAGGUAGGACUUGAGUUUUAUUUUGUUGGUUCCAGAACUUAAGUAAUGAUUGAUAGGGAUUGUUGGGGGUGCCAGUAUUCAGCGGCCAGAGGUGAAAUUCUUGGAUUCGCUGAAGACUAACUUAAGCGAAAGCAUU